rnacentral:rRNA from 1 species
GAUGAACGCUGGCGGCGUGCCUAAUACAUGCAAGUCGAGCGAACGGACGAGAAGCUUGCUUCUCUGAUGUUAGCGGCGGACGGGUGAGUAACACGUGGAUAACCUACCUAUAAGACUGGGAUAACUUCGGGAAACCGGAGCUAAUACCGGAUGAUAUUUUGAACCGCAUGGUUCAAAAGUGAAAGACGGUCUUGCUGUCACUUAUAGAUGGAUCCGCGCUGCAUUAGCUAGUUGGUAAGGUAACGGCUUACCAAGGCAACGAUGCAUAGCCGACCUGAGAGGGUGAUCGGCCACACUGGAACUGAGACACGGACCAGACUCCUACGGGAGGCAGCAGUAGGGAAUCUUCCGCAAUGGGCGAAAGCCUGACGGAGCAACGCCGCGUGAGUGAUGAAGGUCUUCGGAUCGUAAAACUCUGUUAUUAGGGAAGAACAUAUGUGUAAGUAACUGUGCACAUCUUGACGGUACCUAAUCAGAAAGCCACGGCUAACUACGUG